UAGUACCGUGAGGGAAAGGUGAAAAGAACCCCGGGAGGGGAGUGAAAUAGAACCUGAAACCCUGCACUUACAAGCUGUGGAAGCACAUUUCUUGUGUGACCGCGUACUUUUUGUAGAACGGGCCAACGAGUUACGUUAAGUAGCAAGGUUAAGCACUUAAGGUGCGGAGCCGUAGCGAAAGCGAGUUUUAACUGAGCGUUCAGUUACUUGACGUAGACCCGAAACCGGGCGACCUACCCAUGAGCAGGAUGAAGCGAAAGUAAAAUUUCGUGGAGGUCCGAACCCACGAGCGUUGAAAAGCUCGGGGAUGACUUGUGGGUAGCGGUGAAAUUCCAAUCGAGCCCGGAGAUAGCUGGUUCUCCCCGAAAUAGCUUUAGGGCUAGCCUCAAGGUGAGAGAUACGGAGGUAGAGCACUGAAUGUCCUAGGGGGUAUUGCACCUACCGAAGACUAUCAAACUCCGAAUGCCGUCAUCUUAUACUUGGGAGUCAGACUGUGGGUGAUAAGAUUCAUAGUCGAAAGGGCAACAGCCCAGAUCGUCAGCUAAGGUCCCUAAAUGUAAGUUAAGUGGUAAAGGAUGUGGGAUUGCACAGACAACCAGGAUGUUGGCUUAGAAGCAGCCACUCAUUCAAAGAGUGCGUAAUAGCUCACUGGUCGAGUGAUCCUGCGCCGAAGAUUUCCGGGGCUAAAACUUACUACCGAAGCUACGGCAUCAGUAAUGAUGGGUAGGGGAGCUUCCCAUACGGGUUGAAGCAUGACCGUAAGGACAUGUGGACAGUAUGGGAGUGAGAAUGUUGGCAUGAGUAGCGAGAUGUGGGUGGGAAUCCCACAGGCCGUAAACCCAAGGUUUCCAGGGGAAGGUUCGUCCGCCCUGGGUUAGUCGGGACCUAAGCUGAGGCCGAAAGGCGUAGGUGAUGGACAACAGGUUGAUAUUCCUGUACUACCGAUAACCGUUUGAGAGAAGGGAUGACACAGUAGGAUAAGCUAAGCACACUGUUGGUUAUGUGUGCCCAAGCAUUGAGGCAGUCAAAGUAGGCAAAUCCGCUUUGAUAAUGCUGGGAUGUGAUGGGGAGCGAAAUUUAGUAGCGAAGUAGCUGAUUUCACACUGUCAAGAAAAGUCUCUAUCGAGGUUAAAGGUACCCGUACCGCAAACCGACACAGGUGGGUGAGGAGAGUAUCCUAAGGCCAGCGAGAGAACUGUUGUUAAGGAACUCGGCAAAAUGACCCCGUAACUUAGGGAUAAGGGGUGCCACCAUCAGGUGGCCGCAGAGAAUAGGCCCAAGCGACUGUUUACCAAAAACAUAGGUUUCUGCUAAGUCGCAAGACGAUGUAUAGGAGCUGACGCCUGCCCGGUGCUGGAAGGUUAAGGGGAUCUGUUAGAGCAAUCGAAGCAGUGAACUUAAGCCCCAGUAAACGGCGGCCGUAACUAUAACGGUCCUAAGGUAGCGAAAUUCCUUGUCGGGUAAGUUCCGACCCGCACGAAAGGCGUAACGAUUUGGGCACUGUCUCAACAACAGACUCGGUGAAAUUGUAAUUCCGGUGAAGAUGCCGGAUACCUGCGACAGGACGGAAAGACCCCAUGGAGCUUUACUGUAGCUUGACAUUGGGUCUUGGUACUACAUGUACAGGAUAGGUGGGAGGCUUUGAAACCAGGACGCCAGUUUUGGCGGAGCCAUCCUUGGGAUACCACCCUUGUAGUACUGGGACUCUAACCAUAGGCCAUGAAUCUGGUCUUGGGACACUGUCAGGUGGGCAGUUUGACUGGGGCGGUCGCCUCCCAAAAGGUAACGGAGGCGCUCAAAGGUUCUCUCAGUACGGUCGGAAAU
rnacentral:rRNA from 1 species